GCCUUUGUGGUGUAGUGGUCAGCACACUCGACGCGUAUUCGAGAGGUCUGAGGCUCGAAUCCCGGCGAAGGCA
rfam:Stegodyphus mimosarum contig102123, whole genome shotgun sequence.